rnacentral:rRNA from 1 species
UACGUAGGUGGCGAGCGUUGUCCGGAUUUACUGGGCGUAAAGAGCGCGCAGGCGGCCUGGUCAGUCGAGUGUGAAAGCCCCCGGCUCAACUGGGGAGGGUCAUUCGAUACUGCUGGGCUCGAAGGCAGGAGAGGGAAGCGGAAUUCCCGGUGUAGUGGUGAAAUGCGUAGAUAUCGGGAGGAACACCAGUGGCGAAGGCGGCUUUCCGGCCUGUUCUUGACGCUGAGGCGCGAAAGCUAGGGGAGCAAAUGGG